rnacentral:rRNA from 1 species
GACGAACGCUGGCGGCGUGCUUAACACAUGCAAGUCGAGCGAACAGACGAGGAGCUUGCUUCUCUGACGUUAGCGGCGGACGGGUGAGUAACACGUGGAUAACCUACCUAUAAGACUGGGAUAACUUCGGGAAACCGGAGCUAAUACCGGAUAAUAUAUUGAACCGCAUGGUUCAAUAGUGAAAGACGGUUUUGCCGUCACUUAUAGAUGGAUCCGCGCCGCAUUAGCUAGUUGGUAAGGUAACGGCUUACCAAGGCAACGAUGCGUAGCCGACCUGAGAGGGUGAUCGGCCACACUGGAACUGAGACACGGUCCAGACUCCUACGGGAGGCAGCAGUAGGGAAUCUUCCGCAAUGGGCGAAAGCCUGACGGAGCAACGCCGCGUGAGUGAUGAAGGUCUUCGGAUCGUAAAACUCUGUUAUUAGGGAAGAACAAAUGUGUAAGUAACUAUGCACGUCUUGACGGUACCUAAUCAGAAAGCCACGGCUAACUACGUG